rnacentral:rRNA from 1 species
UACGGAGGGUGCGAGCGUUAUUCGGAAUUACUGGGCGUAAAGCGUGCGCAGGCGGCCCGUUAAGACAGGUGUGAAAUCCCUGGGCUCAACCUAGGGAUUGCGCUUGUGACUGGCGGGCUCGAGUACGGUAGAGGGGGGUGGAAUUCCUGGUGUAGCAGUGAAAUGCGUAGAGAUCAGGAGGAACACCGAUGGCGAAGGCAGCCCCCUGGGCCUGUACUGACGCUCAUGCACGAAAGCGUGGGGAGCAAACAGG